rnacentral:lncRNA from 1 species
CUGAAAAAGAAAAACCUAAUCCUUCAAAUCUUCGCUAUCCUUCAAAUCUUCACUAUCCUUCGAGUCUUCGAUACGCUUCGAAUCCUUAUGGGGAAGUCUAUAAAUGAUACGUCCCUUGCUUGAAUCAUAACGACUUACUUCAAUUUUGACCCUAUCCCCCAUCAGUAUUCGUAUAGAACUAGACCGAAUCUUUCCUGAAAUAUAGCCCAGGAUGAUGGUGUCAUUCUCUAGACGAACGCGGAACAUUCCGUUGGGUAGGGCUUCCGUAACUAAACCUUCGAAAGUUACUUUUGCUUCUCUCGGGUUUUUCUUUUCUCGCCUAUUUUUUUUUCUGUCAUUUUUUUUCUGGCUAUUUUUACCAAGAUCUGAAGUGUGCCAGAUAUAUCUCAAGAUACGUUUUACUGCUGUCCAAUGAACACUUGUGGGUUUAUGCAAAUAUUGACAUACCUUGUUCACUGAGAAAGCAAUGUCAGGACAUGUCAAAGUCAAGUACUGAAGUGCACCUACUAUACUUCUGUAUUUUGUGCCAUCUUCCUGUUCAAGUAGCUCUCCAUCAUGAGCUGACAGUUUCUCUAUACUUGACAAUGGAGUUGGCGAUCCUUUGCAAUGCUGCAUCCCAAUAUUUUCCUUGGGACAGUACAAUGCCAUCUUCAUUCUUCUUUACUUCUAUACCAAGGAAGUAGUGCAAAUCACCAAGAUCCUUGAGAGCAAACUCAAACCCUAGAUCUUUCAAUAAGGCUGAAACUGCAUCACCUGAAGAGCUGGUGACAAUAAUGUCAUCUACAUAUAUGAGCACAAAUAUGGUUAUGCCUGACUUGUUGAAAAUAAACAAGGAAGUGUCUGAUUUUGAUGGCAUGAAGCCUAGCUGCUGCAGCUUGCUACUUAACCUAGAAUACCAUGCUCUAUGUGCUUGUUUUAAUCCAUAUAAGGCUUUGUCUAACUUGCAAGUGUGAUUCGGAGAAUUCUUAUCUUCAAAACCUGGUGGUUGCCUCAUAUAGACCUCCUCUUCCAGAACACCGUGCAAGAACGCGUUCUGCACAUCUAGUUGGCGCAAACUCCAACCUUUUGACACAGCAAUGGCUAAGACAAGUCUAAUAGUGGCAGCCUUGACAACGGGACUGAAAGUGUCCUCAUAGUCUAUGCCAUAGCGUUGCUUGAAGCCUUUUGCUACAAGUCUUGCUUUAUAUCUGUCUAUAGUACCAUCUGACUAUUUCUUGAUUCUAUAGACCCAUUUGCAAUCUAUGAGAUUUUUACCUUCUUGAGGCGGUACCAAAUGCCAUGUUUUAUUUUUCAUCAGGGCAUUAUAUCCAUCUUCCUUCCACCUUUGUCUUCAAGCGCCUGCUCCAAUGUUUCUGGUUCACCUGUAGAUGUCAAUAGACCAUAGCGUAUCAUACCAGGGAAAAGCUUUCGUGGCUUAACAAUUCCUUGUUGGAGUCGGGUCACGGCAUGAGGGGGUGAAGCUGGUGGUGCAGGUGGUGAAGCUGACGGCGCAGAGGAUCCGAAGCUACUUGAAUCUGUUGCAGAAGAUCUGGAAUUUGCCGCAGAAGAUCCGCCGGAGUUUUGGGCGGGAGAUGGCAUCAUCUACGAUGCUUCUGUGCUUGUCGGGCUUGCGCUUGCGCCAGGUGUCGUCUGCUGAUCCGGGGAAGCUCCGCCUGCAGUAGUACUGCCCCGAUCUUCUUGGGAUCGCACGCAGGCAGAGUCUGCCUAGGAUCGCGUGAUGGCAGUGGCGGGAGAAUCUCCCUGGCCUUCUGCUUGAUGCACACCAGAAUUGCACACGGAUAUAUUUGUUUGCCUGAAACUUGCUGGAAUUGCUGCAUGAGACUCAUUAGAACUAUUAGCAGCAUUAGUACGAGUAUUAAUCACUUGAUCAUCAUCAUUAAAUUCGCCCUCAUGAUGAAGAGGUCGGAGGUGCUCCGGGAGAAGAAGGAUUUCAGACCAAAAUAGAUGACCAGCAUUUGGAUGAAGAGAUUUGAAGGGAAAAACACUCGCAUCAAAAACAACAUCACGAGAUAUAUAUAUUCGGCCAGAAUCAACAUCUAGGCACUUGACCCCCUUAUGGCGUGAGCUGUAUCCAAGAAAAACGCAUUGCUUAGAGCGAAAGGCUAGCUUGCAGGAAUUAUAGGGCCGCAAAUUGGGCCAACACGCACACCCAAAAACUCUGAGAGAGGUGUAAUCAGGGGUGGUGCCAAAGAGACGCUCUAAUGGAGUUUGAGAAUUAAUAACUUUGCUUGGAAGCAUGUUAAUUAGGUAUGUGGCAGCAAGAUAAGCUUCAUCCCAGAAUUUGAGUGGCAUAGAUGCGUUUGCUAGGAGAGCUAGGCCAACUUCAACUAUGUGGCGAUAUUUUCGCUCAGCCGAACCAUUUUCUUGAUGGGCAUGUGGACAGGAAACAUGAUGCAUGAUUCCUAUCUUUUGGAAGAAAGAAUUUAAUUUUUCAUAUUCUCCUCCCCAGUCAGAUUGCAUGGCAAGGAUUUUUCGGUCAAAUUGUCGUUCAACAAGUGCUUGGAAAUUGUGAAAGACAGCAAAAACAUCAGAUUUCUUUUUGAUGAGGUAGAUCCAUGUGUAUUUGCUAUAAUCAUCGAUAAAACUCACAUAGUAAGAAAAAUUGCCAACCGAAGUGGGGGCCGAACCCCAAACAUCAGAGAAUAUCAACUCUAAUGGAACAGUGGAUACACUUGUAGAAAUAGGGUAUGGCAAUUGAUGACUUUUUGCUUUCUGACAUGAAUCGCAACCGAAUCACCUAAGGACUCACCAUCAUGUGGGAGUUUAUUUUUACUAAGCACUUCAUGAACUACUGAAGACAACGGAUGACCUAAACGACUGUGACACCUAGACGAAGAUAAUUUGGUGGCACUAAGACCUUGCUUGCGAAACUUGAACUUUGGUGGAACUAGGGGGUAGAGUCCUCCUCUACAUCUGCCUCAAUGAAUUAUUCCCCUUGUGACCUGAUCCUUGAUCAAAAAGAAUUUAGGAUGAAAAUCAAUAGAGACUUGAUUGUCGGUAGUGAGGCGAUGAACAGAAAGAAGAUUUUUUGAUGUACUUGGAACAUGCAAGAUGUUAUUUAAAUGCAAUGUGCGACUAGGGGUGCGAAUUGAUGAGUGACCAAUGUGAUCAAUUUUCAUACCAGAUCCAUUGGCGUUGUGCACUUGGUCCUGCCCCCGGUACUUGUCGCGAAUGGAGAGCUUCUCGAGCUCGCGGGUGAUGUGGUCAGUGGCUCCACUGUCGGUGUACCAGCUGGUAUCACCGCCAUAGGAAGUGUUGAUGGAGCCUGCCACCUUCUCCUCUGCUUGGUAGUCUUCAUCGAAGCGCCACCAGCACUCAAGUGCCACAUGCCCAACCUUGGAACAGAUUUGGCACAUAGGUCGUGGUUCAUUGCCACGUCCGUUGUUGGUGUUGUUGUUGGAGCCUCCUGGAUGCUGGUUCUUGUUGGUGUAGGUGCGUCCGCCGCGAUUGCCAUGUCCACCAUUGCCGCGUCCGCGCUGUCCACCGCGGCCACGAGAUGAGGAGCCACCGCGUCCACGUGUGGCAGCGUUGGCUGAAGACUUGAAGUUGCCUCCGCCCUGAAGGAGCUCCAUGCGUGUGUCGAAGUUCGACAUCUGUGAGUACAGCUCACCAAGUGUGAUGCCAUCGGUCUUUGCAUCUAGUGCAGAGACGAGCGGGUUGUACUCGAUGUCGAGCCCCGCGAGGAUGUAGGACACCAUCUCAUCUUCUCCUAGCGGCUUCCCGGCAGCAGCAAGUUCAUCACCGAGGCUCGUCAUCUUGGAGAAGUAGGCAGCAACCGUCUGGUUGCCCUUGGUGGCGUUGGCCAACAUAAUCCGUAGAUUGUUGACCCUUGAUCUGGACUGAGAGGAAAACAUGUUUUCCAGAUAAAUCCAGACUUCUGUCGCGCUCGUAAGCGAGACAACCUGCAUCAAAACUUCUUUGGAAAGAGAUUUGAGCAGGUAAGAAAGGACCUGUUGGUCCUGCGCAACCCAUAUCACGUAGGCCGGGUUUGACUUCUUGACGAUCGUCUUGUCGGCUUCUUCAUACUCAAGCUCCUUGCUGGGUGCCUUGAUCGAGCCAGCCAUAGAGCUGUGCACCACGCACAUCAGGAAAGACUUGUGCCUUCCAUAGGAGAUAGUUCUCCCUGGUGAGCUUCUCAGUAACUGUGCCACCGAGAGCAGUUAUGGGGUUGGAUGAAGAGGACGCCAUGGAAAAAGUUUGGAGAUUGGAUCUAGAUGGGGAUGGAAGAGGAAGGCUCUGAUACCAUGUGAAAUUUAUGAAGCGUUCUCACCCUUUGUCUCGGUCACAUCUUUGUUUAUAUAGAAGACCGAUCAAGUCGGUUGAGUACAUCUUGUGUUACAAGAAAAGGAGUUUAAACUCCCAGGAGAGAUAGAGUUGUUAGAGAUACAACUAGAGAAUCAUGCCGACUAUACAAGAUUGAUAUCUACGGCUAAUCAAGUUGUUACAAACUCUAACAGUGUGGUCUGCCCCAUGUCCACGUAAUGUUCAACAGUUUUCUGUGGCUAGCACAUAACAGUCUGCCACUCUUGUCGAACAUUAAACGACGUGGUGUUGAUUGUGAGCCACUUUGUUUCCUAUGCCACAGGCAGAACGAGGAUGGUGGGCACCUGUUUUUCCGUUGCAAGAAAGUCAAACAAGUAUGGAGAGACAUGGGCCUGGAAGAUAUCCGACUUCAGUGUGUUGCCUGUAAUGGUCCGAAGGAGGUGUUGAAGUUUUUACUCCGUCUCAGUGUGGGGAAACAGACUCGUUGUUUGGCUUUGCUCUGGAAAUGGUGGUGUGCCAGAAAUAAAGAAAAUGCUGGAGAAUCAACUUGCGAUACCGCUGCUGUUGUCUUGUUGGCUGGACGAGCUGCUUUAGAGUAUGAGCGACACUGUGCUACCGUGAAGGACGAGCCACUGAAGAAACCACAACACUGGACUCCACCAAUGGGCGACAUUCUGAAAGUUAACAUCGAUGGCAGUUUCAGUGAUGGUUCUGGCGGAUGGGGUUUUGUCAUUCGGGACUGUGAUGGCGAUGUGGUUGUGUCAGGUGCAGGUCGUGUUCCUUCUUUGCAAGACGCCCUGCAGGCUGAGGCAGAAGCGAGCCUCCAUGCCCUACAUACUGCCCAGGAUUGGGGCAUAUCGAGAGUCCAGGUUGAGACAGAUGCACUGCUUCUGGUGCAUGCGCUGAAGAGCAGUGAACAUGAUCUGGCCAUCAAUGGGAUGAUCUUCAAGGAGAUUCGUUCCUUUGUUUCGUUAAACUUUAUGUUUUUUGAUGUUGUGUAUUGCCCUCGGGCUUGUAAUAGAGUAGCGGACGCCAUGGCGGCGUUCGGCGCGAAGAUGGUUCAUGAUGAACCCCAAGCCGUUUGGCCGGGUGAUGUUCCUACCUUCGCGCGCUCUUUGGUCGCAAGCGAUUUUGCUGCGCACCCAGUUUAAUAUAAGUUGGUCUUCGAGUUUAAAAAAAAAAACUCCAUAGGACCAGAAAAGGGGCUAAAGAAACUAUAUCGCCAGACUGGCCAUAUGAGCGAUUCGAGAUCUGAGGAGUAUUUAAUUCCUAACGAGUAUCAAUCACAAAAAGCCAGCAUCAGCAGCACAUCUUUUCAAGAUCCGGCGACCACAACACAGAUCAUACAGACAGACAGCCUCAUUUGGCGCCGGCGCCGGCGAGCCGCCGGCCGGCCUGCUCCAUGAGCACCAACAAGCCCUGGCACUCCUGCAUCACAAGCUCAUCCAAACCCCCAUUAAUCAUCGCCGGGAAGAAGAGCCAGAACCCCGUGCCGCCCACGAACGCCAGCGUGAGCGGCACCGCGAGCGCCCGCGGCGGCCGCCACCACCCGGCCUGCCUUCCCCACCACGCCUCCGCCGCCGUGCAGACCCCAUGGAGCACGAAGAACCCCGUCACGUCGCCGCUGGGCGGCCGCCACAUGAUGUAGUAGAAGAUCACCUCGUGCAUGAGUCCCGAAACUAGGAACGACACCAUGACGCCGGCCGCGUCGCCGAAGCAAGCGCGCACGGGGUUGUAGACGGAAGGGCGGAGGAUCGCCGGCACCAUGAGGUUCCACCGCCGGCCCCAGAAGUCCCGCAGCGACGACGCCAGGUACGGCCGGUCCACCUGCGGCUCCAUCUCCAUCCCCAGCGCACCGUGGAUCAGGAUGCGGACGGCGGCCAGGAGGAGCUCCAGGGAGAAGUAGAUGUGCGCGGCGUACAUGGCCAGGAGCUGCCAAUGGCUCAUGGAAUCCUUGAACUGGUACCCGUAGAUGAUUAAGGGGAUCACGGCGCCGGAGACGAGGAUCUUAUAAGCAGCGGCAGGGGCGGAAGGGGGAUCUUGCUUCAGCUUUGAUUUGGGCGGCGGCUGCCGGAGCUUGACGGGGAGGGCGGCGGAGCAGGCGAAGUGGAGCAAGGGGAGGGACGGGUCUGCCAGGGGCCCGCGGCCGGCGGCGAGGAGGAGGAGCUUGAAGGUGCCGAGCCAGCAGAGGAAGAAGGCGGAGCUGCCGCGGAACGUGGUGGAGGAGAAGGCGAAAGGGAUACCGUAGAAGAGCACGACGACGGGGAGAAGCGCCAGGAGGCGGCCCGAGCCUGGGCGGAUGUCCGCGGCGGCCAUGCGGGCGUAAGCCAUGGCCGCCCAGACCGCCGCCGAUGCCUUCACGAGGGUCCCGAGCUCGCCGUCCAUGAACGCCGCCGCCCCCGCCAUUGUUGUGGUGGCUGGUGAGCACGAGGAAAUAAAUGGUCGGCUAAUUGGUCUCUCGAUCGAGAGCUUUUGAGGCUGUGGCUUGCGUCUUGCCAAGUUGCCAUUUGAGUAUUUGACUUGCCCUUGAUUUUAUUUACUGUCCCAUUAUGUCCACCACGUACGGCAAUUAGUCCAUGUCUCAGAUUCAAUCAACAGUCACUCACAGUGUAAUCCCGGACACGAGCCGGAAAUUCCUGAGACAAAAAAUAAAACUACGGCGACAUCGCACUCCAAACUCAAACAAAUUCAGUAAAAAUAGUGGUCCUUCCUGCUUGACACAAUUCAUUUGCAUAUUUCUCUUUUUAAUUCCUUCUAAAUGCAUAGAACAUCAUACUAAACAUGAUUUUUAUGAAGUUUGCACACUUUGCACCGAACGAGGGUUUUUGUCAGAUACGCCGCCCCAUUAUAAAGAUAGCCAUGUCUUACACAAAUAGUUCACAAACUAUGCCACGAAGGAAUACCACACAAUGCAUAAUGCAUAAUGUAUCAAAACAUAAAAACCUCUAAUGAAAGGUCAAAAAUAUUUUUUAAACUUAUAAAAAUGCAAAUAAGUUCUCGAAAUUCCUGGUCACUCCUAAUACUCCCCUCACUAGCUACACUCUAUUGGGGAUCCUCAUCUUCGUCCUCAUCCUCGCUCUCUUCUUCUUUACCUUGUGGAAGAAUGACUUCAUACUCCGGUCAAGACUUGCCAUGAACGGAUCCUCAUUGCUCUCAAAUGGAGUGAUGCUCUCCUCACUACCAUUUGGAACAUCUAACUCCAUCUUCUGCAUCAUCUUCUUUGGGUUGGAGCGGUUGUGCUUGGAGUCAACAUGGGCUUCAUAAAGACGCUUCUCAUUGGCUUGCUCAAAGCAAAAUAGCUUCUUUAUCUUUCGACACUCAUUUGAGCCAAAAGACCUCAAUUGUCAUUCCUUUGAGCUCUCGCUUGCACAACAAAGUCAUCAUCCCCUUCUUCACUUGCUUCGGCGGAUGGCUCUUCCUCAAAUCUUGGAGGUGACUCCAUUGGAAAUAAUCUUAGAGAGAAUCAAAGCCAUGAGACAUGAGAUGCAUAUGAAGGCACUCUUCUAUACAUGGCAAUGGAAUACAUCUUAUGCCAUAAGAAACUCAUCACAUCCAAAAGCUCGGUAGUCUCACGCCUCCUAUGGGUAUGGAUCAUAAGAUCACCAAAAAAUCCAUGUACCUCAUCCAAGUUGCCUACCUUGCUUGCAACAGUCUCUCGGUAAAUCCUGUCCAUGAUGUCAUAAACGGGAAGCAAGUCCUUGGUUUUAUUCAUAGUACAAACCUCCAUAUGAGUCAUUAUUUUCUUAGUUCUCAGUUCACUGCAUUCUAACUACUUCUUAGCUUUUAAUUAAUUCUCUGUUCUAAGCAUCUCCCGUAUGAUCUCAGUAUUUUUUUUUCUUUUUUUGUUGGGACGUGUGUGCUAUCAAGUUUACGGUUUUUCUUGGAGAAGCCUAGCCAACGACCAUGAUUGAACCAAAACUGUCUGCAUGUAAUAUUUUGUACCCUUCGGAUGGACUCCUCAAAAACUAUCCGUACAAUUUCCACCCCUGACUCAGUGCCUCAGUGGCGGCUCCCGGCGGCCGAUUCCGUCGUGAGCCAGGUGUUGCGGUUGAUUCUAUCCAGACUUGAAAACACAACAUUAGUGAAAUCACCCCUAUAAAUGGAUGAUUAGAUUUGGUAGGUACUCCUAGCUUCUCUAAGGGAGUACUAGGAUACUUUAAAAUUCUCCACUAGUAAAGGUUGUCUCUUCAUUUUUGAAAAAGUAAGGUUAUCUCUUUCAAAAUUAAGAUGAUAUAUAUGUUUGAGAAAACUGCCUUUUUUCCGAUACAAAGAUUUUUCAAGGUUGAAAUGGGUUUGAGUUGAAAUCCAAAAAUCUGGGAAGAUUUUUACUGGCUAAUUACAUGCCAGGUAUGUCAUAUAAUAUCAUGAAGAAACUUACUUCACAGGAUCACUAAAAUAUGUUUUUAAUUGUUCUUAUAGACAACGAUAGCCAAUUGUUCUGUGCAUACAAACUUAUUUGACCUUGACAGACUGUUACAGAGGCGUACCUGCAUAUUGGAACUGCGUGACAGUAAAUGCCUUGUGAGUGACUACACUCAAAUAGAAGGAACGUUCCCAGUCAAUCCCAGCUGAAUUAACAUCGAUGAUCUUUUCAAGCAGGUAAUUGCAAAAAGGAAACAAGCAUAAUUUGCCCAGUAACUCUUGUACAUACAGCUUUAGAGUAGUUGAUGUGAAAUUACACUUUACUCGCAGCAGCCAGCAGAUCAGAAAACGUAUUUUUCCUGGUACUUCGGAGUAGAAGUUACACCAGAUACAAAACCAUUUGUGUUUGAUAAUUACGGUUGUACAGAUGAGUGAUGUAAUUUCAACCCAAAAGGAGUACACUUUGCUUCUGAGCCAUUUGUGUUUGAAUUUUGAACCACUAUACAAAGUGCCAACAAGAACAAGUGCUCAACAUCAAUUUGGAAACUACAGAAACACUACUGUUGCUAGUCAAAUUGCGCAGUUAAAGAUCAAUCAAUUAUCAAUGGCUGGAGAGAUAAGAGAUCCAUCUGAUGAGAUAAAACAUGGGGACUCUGCCCAAGGAGACAAGAGAAUGAACAUCAUAUAGUUUCAUGGGAUAUGAGAAGAAUCUUCUAUGUUGCUAUUCUAACUAAACUGCAUCAGGAAAACUGAGGCAUCUUGUUGUCCCCCAGCAACCUGCGAGAUGACCAGGAUGUCCUCCAUGUAGGUUACGCUCUCCAGUUUGUAUUCACGCUAGCUAUCUGCAAUGCAUGUAGAGUUUAGGUUAGACCAUUGCCAGAGCGAGCAGUUGCCUUGGUUUAGGUAAGAAAAGAAAAACAAAGAAGCAUUACAUUACCUGGACUAUUUUCAUCACUCAGCAAGAAUUGUCUGCAUUAUUUAUGAAAUUGCUUGACAUGUAAACAGUGGCUAGUGGUACCUGUAACCAUCCGUAAGAGAAGAACAUGACUCCAUUAGUUAUUCUUUUCCUUCACAAGUACUCCCUCCGUUCCUAAAUACUUGUCGCUAUUUUAGUGCAAACUUGAACUAAAACAGCGACAAGUAUUUAGGAACGGAGGGAGUAGUAGAAAUGGAUAACCGUGCAUUUCUCUCAAGUGCACUACAAGGCAAGGUUGGUGCAGCGAAAUGUAGAAAUGGUGUGUAAUGCAAGCCAAUACCAAGGAAAGUGGCGUGCCAAUGUUCUACAAGCAUGUACACCAGCAUUUAUCCCUUUUGCUUGAAUCCGAAUACCGGCUUGGUAUCCUACUGAUUGAAGCCAGAACACAGCAUGGUAAGGCAACAUGAUGAUCAACAUCACCAACCGCCCAAUUUUGUAUAGAAUCUGGAAAUAUAAAAUUCGGUUAUGACAAGUAUGGAGUACAAUACAUAAAUGAUUUUUUCAUAAGACGAUGAAUUCUUACCCAUGGGUCACUUGCACUAAACCACCAGUACAAAGUAAAUGGGACAGGAGUUGCCAUCAUUAAGUAUAUUGCAUUCUCAGGUGAGGGGAGGUACUCAACUAAACCCAAGUGCAAAAAAGCAACCAAAGAAACCAAAACCAUUGCUUGCCAUGCUCCCAGAGCAGCAACAAACAUAUGCAGUGGUGCUGACUUCGAAAAUGCAACUGUGACUAAUCCCAUCAACAUGAUUAACAACGAGAAAGUAAAGUAUAUGACACAAUAGUAUCCAUGAUGCUUGUUAGUCUCGUGAAUGACUUUCAACACAUCAGCAGUUCUACCGAAGCACAUAACUAUCAAUCCUAAGACACAUAAUUUCCCAUAACUUUCUAGCCUGGUGUUCUUGGCACUAGCAUCUGUUGGGUUUGGGCAUCUAAACCCAACAGCAUCAUCAAGGGACCGAAGCCAACUAUGAAAAUCCAUCCCUGUAAAAAUCAAUUAAUUAAUUAUUAAAAAUCAACAAUUGAGCAAACAAAACUAUGAACAACAUAUUACUUUGCACAUCAAAUAGAAAAUAAUGGAAAGCAUCGAAGAUUUGAAAUCGUGACAACACUUUUCACUUUCUAGUAUGAGAAGGAAAAAAGAAAGGAAUGAGGGAAUCUGCUUGCUUGCUCAAUUGCUCCCACUCCUUACACAAAGCAUUGCAGAAUAUUAUCCGAAUUAGAGUGUGAAUUAUAUGGCAGCAAUUAAGGAACACCAAUUUCAGCGUCCUAUGGAACAUAUAAGCUAGACUGCAUGAUAGACUGACGAGAAUACUAACUACACCAGCAUAUUGGAAGUACUCGAAACCUAGUAACUCUUGCAACGUAAGAAAGAAUAUAUUUACACCAAUCGGGUGUGCUUCCAUAUACAUUUUCAAAUCCUAUUUAAAGAUUGAAUUCCGAUAACAUCUAUGAGUGAAUUUAUAUAUAAACGUCGCAGCUUGGUCCUCUCAUUUUGCUGUAAACAGACAAAGUAUAUUCAUAUCAAACUAAUGAAUUGAAUUAAAGUAUUUAUACGUAAUCAAUACAAGAUACAUAACGUUUGAGCACGCAAAAUCAUUUUAUUACCUACAUUUAUAAUUGCAUAGAUCACACUUAUGUGUUACAGAGCAGAAAUUGCAUAUCUAUUUCAGAGCAAAAAUUGCAGAAACUGAAAAGAGUAUUUAGUCUACCAACUUGCUAUGUUAUGCUCCAUGAAAAUGCUGCAGCACUAAAACAUAAAGCCUGGCCGUUCCAAGAUUAGAGCUGGUCGCGUGUCACUAGUCGAGUGGCGAAAUCAAUUUGGUGCCACAAACAGACUCUUCAAAAGAUUAUACUAUAACCCCUUCCGCUGAAUAGAUUCCACACCUGAAGUAGUUAAAAGAGAGAUUAUUCACAUUAACUUCUACAAGUCAUUAAUAAUUGAAAAGAGAGGUGCAACAGAUAAACCAAGAGCAUUCAUUCCUCUUCACUAUAAGAGAGAAACAUAUUAGGCAGGAAUCAAAGUACCAAAGUGGUUUGCAUUUUGCAGCAUAUAAAGCCCGAUUUAUGCAUACAAUGUAGUUUUUGUUUUUUCAGGAGGACCUCUCAAUCCUUACUGUCAGCAGUAGACCACAAACAACCCAGACUGACUAACAUUCUACUCUGAAUACUAGCCUUUCUGGACUUGAAGCAGCAUCAAAAUAAUUCACUGUGCUACACUGCCUCAAACAUCACCCAACCAAUGCUUAUAUGCCCAGCAUCUGAAAGGAACGAAAAAACUAAAACUGAACCCAGCAACGUACACAGCUGGUCUUAACUAGGUCUGGGAAUGGUGCAUGCAGGUCGAAACCGCACCGAUGCCAUGCAUAUCCUCAUCACGAUCACAGCAAAUUAGCAGACAGAGGCAGGCGCAAUGGCAGGCUGGCGCUUUGUGGCUACGGCAUUUUGUCAAACACCUGGUGGUCGUGAAAACAACUGUACGUGGCGGCAGCUGGAUGAACUGAACGCCGCGGUGGAUGGACGGUGGAGAUCGACGGCGAGGCCAGAAGCGAUGCCGCGAGCGAGCUCGGCCGCGAAGCACCGGCGCGGCUAGACGCGUCGCCGGCCGUGGGCCGCCGGGGACGCCACGGGAUGACGCGCCGGCGCCAAGGCCGGACGAGCACGCGGUCGAACACUAGACGAGCAACUAAGCGUCAUUGCUGGCGCGAGCGGCGACGGCGCGGUCCUCCCGUACAUUGUCUCCGACGACCGCCAGACCAUGAAUUGAACUCAGCUUUAGGGAUUUUAGGGAUUUGCGUACCUGCUAGCUGCGGCUCCGUGGACGACGGAGCGCCGGUGUGGCGUCGUGCGGCGCUGCGUUGGCCUUCUGCCUGUGGAUCGUCUUCAAUCUCCCCGUGUGUCAGAUCCCCGGAACUGCAGGGUUUUGAGAUCAUCGGUUCAGGCCUUCAGGGAGGAAUACCAAAGCGGAACGAAAAGCAUAUGGGCCCUGGGCUGCUGCCCAGUUUGAGCCUUUCUUCAACGGGGCUGUAGGGGUUGUAGCCCACCAAAAUUUCCUCAAAAAAAAAACAAGCACCAAAAUCCUCUCAAAACAAAAAGCACCAAAUAAUAAUAAUAAUUCUUUUCUGCAGUUUGCAUAUUUUUAUGGUGUAUGGCCAUAUAGCAUGUGAGUUUCUAGCGUUGGAGCCGAAAGCAAUUAGGGAUUAAAUGGACGGCGUUUCGAAGAAUUAAGCUGUGCUGUGUGAUAAAUGAUAAAUAUUCUACCUCCUACAAGGAACAUAUUUCCAUUUUCUGUUAUUAACUUCGUGCUAUCUGUACCUGAAACAACGGACUCCAAAACCGCUUUGAGAAAACCACUGGUAACUUCCUGCUGCCGAUUACUGGUUAGCCCAAAUUUGCAGAGCAUGACAGGAUGAACUGAUCAAUGUGUUGUUUAAUCAGUGGAAUUCUCUGCAUGUAGGUGAUCACUGAUCAUAGUCUGACGGGUAAACAAGGUUAAAUUAAUUACCCGGGGCAGUUGGUGACUUGGUACAUGCAUGCAGCCUGAAUAAUCUACUGCUUCCUUAGAUAUGGUCAUUCAGAUUUGACGGAGAGGUUCAGUUCAUCGUGCCAAGUCUCAGGAUUUUUUUAGCCAUCCUUCUAGAUCAUCACGAGCUAAAUUAAGGACGAAGCUGCUGUUUUCUACCACAUGUCAUCCCAUAAAUCCUUCAGAAACAAUGCAUAGUUCAGCAGCCGAUCUAUGACUUGGUGCAAGGUUCUCGAUUAGAAAAAUAACACACUUAAUUUUGUCUGCUCAAUCGAUGACUUGGCGCAUGCUAGGUAUGCCCUUUUGACUAUCUCCACAUGAUGUCAAUCAAUCUGGACCUACAAUUAGUUCUUUUUGUUUGUUAAUUAACCUGUAGUUAAUUAUGUUUGUUCCUUCUUGUCAACGCAGCAUCCUCAGAUAUAUAAUAUACAGCAGAGAUCAGCAACACCUGUCAGCUCAAGCAUAAGAACCAAUGGAAUGAAAUCAUAUGUUUAAUUUAUUUUCAAUUCUGUGAUGGAUCCAGCGAAAGAGGCAAGGUUGAAUAAUUCCUUAUGUUUAAAACUGUUCUUAUCUUCUGAAACUCAAGUUUUAUUAUGCAGCAUGGAGCAUGCGACUUCUUCUUUAAUUUCGACCUGCUGGUCGUUUUCAGUCUACUGGUUGUUCUAAUCGGCAAGUCCAAAUGGAAGUUCGGUUCAUGUUUGGAUGCUUCUUUCAGAAGAUGUAUAAAUUAUAUAUAUUUAGGAACAUGUCAAAGAGUCAGAGCAUAUAUGCAUGCAUUGAGUCUCUGUAUUUGGUGUAAGCUCUAAUCUGUCUACAUGAUCAUUAAUUUCUUAUAUAUCAAAAAGAGGAAAGAAGUGGAAAAUUUCAAUCUUCAAUUAUGGAAUAAUAUCUUUGAUUUGCAAUGACUAGACUAUGGUGUUCAGGGUUUUCCUGGUUCAGGUCUGAACCUCUGAAGAUCCAUUAUGGUUAGGAAGAAACCAAAUUGAGCAGCUUUCUGAAAUAUUCAACACUCCAGCCCUCAAACUACUAACACAUCCUUUUCUUUUCAAAGGUCAAGUCUUCAAAAACUGAACUAAAAAGGGGGGAAAUCGAACCAGAAGAAGGAAAUACUUAUAUAUGAACAGCAGCUGAUGGGAUACCUCAGAGCUGAGCCAAUACUACUUAUAUAUGAACAGUAGUUGAUGACAUAUUACUACAUUUGUCAUUUGCCAGGAUCUUUGGAGCCAUCAACCAGCGGUUGCAAUGGCUACCUCAGAGCUGGGACUUCCUGCAGUCUCAACAGAACCAACUUUAAUUUGCCUGAAUAAUCUACCCAUGAACCAACUUUCAGAACUCAGACGUGCCACAUGAUCACAAUAUUUACUUGACAAAUACAUAAAAUUAAUCCAUACAGUCAUGGUCGAGCAUUUGGCCUACUACUAAUUAAUCGCCUCGAGGAAUGAAACCAAUCAGUCUAACUAAACUACCUGGUCCCAGGAUCAUAAACUCAUAAACUUAAUCCGGAGAUCGAGUUAAUUGAUUGAUUAAUCAGCUGCAUCGAGGAUCAUCAGCUACGCAACUUGCAGGCCUUGAUCCGUCCACAUGCGCCAUAAGAUAUCUUUGUCGACGAGUUACCGAGUGGCUAGAAAGGCACAACAGCAACUGGGAAACAUGUUAUGGGGUUCUGCAGCUAAUUUAGCUGAGGUUGGUUGACAAGCAAGGCAUAGCAUGUACACGCUUGCCUUCAUCUCAAGUUAAUCAGUAACUUCCAGCAAUCAAUGGCGCCGACCACUUGGUAAUUAAUCAACCUAGUUUGCCCUAGUGAAAACAAGAUGUUCGAAUUGUCUAACGUUAAGAUUACUAGAAUAUAUAUUGGUGCUUGAUUCUAUGAGUGAGUAUUUACAAAAUUAUUUUGCGGUUCACCAAAAAUGACUUUUUCAAAAUGCCUUCACUCAAAUUAUGAAAGAUUUGAUUGCCAAUAUCAUUUAUAUCAUUUUGAAUUGGGAACUUCAUAUGUCCUGAAAAGUAUUUUUCGAAUAUUACAAUAAAAUUGGUAUUAUAAACAUCUUGCAAUAAAAACUAGAAGUCAUAGUUACAUCUUGAAGAAUGUGUCAACAUCCAAAAUGUCAUUUUCUGUGACGAGGAGCAGAGAGUGCUUAUUUUUACAUGAUGAAACCCCAGCUCAAGAAUUCAAAAUUUAUCCUCAGUUUGAGAAAGUUCAAGAAAUUGAGCAUAUCUAUUUCGGUUGGCAGACAAAAUAUAUCAUCUUACAACCUAGAUAAAAGUCACAUCAGUUAUCUAUUUCUACAAUCAUAAAGUUUUAUUGCCUUUUUUUCCGCAUAAUUAAGAUAGUGCAGCCAUCUGGCCACCGUAACAAAGUCAUAGCCAAAAACAGAGGAUAUGAAUAACAAUAAAGGGUAAGAAAAAGGUCGGAAACACAUCAAGGGCUUAAACCACACAUAACGUAGUGUGAAAACCGCCAUCUAUGCUCGACGAAGAGCUCUUCGGCUACCACCUUCAAAGAAUGGCACGCAAGAAAAAAUGCUCUCUUGUCCUGUCCAAAAACUAUAAUCUGGAUUAGGAUCAUAGCCAGUGUGUACACGAAAAGAUGCCAGUUACAAAGAAUUGGAGUUUAUUUAUCUUGUCGAAAAUCAUACCAUUUUGACUUAGCCAAAUUAAUAGACAAACACACAGAGCAGCCAUGGCAACAAAAUAGUUAAACGAAGCCUCUGUCGCCGGUCUAGCCAAUUACCGAUCAUAUUGAUCGAUGGUACUAACUAAUUAAUGGUCCUCAAACAACUUGAUUAAUGACUGAUAAUGCAUGUUUACGUUUGCUAAACCAUUUCUUUAUCAGUUAAUUACCCUCCCUGCUCACUAACCAGUGACGUUUCAAAAUCACAAAGUCAAAUGUGAAGCCUUGGAAGAGCCAAAUGGAGAAUGCCAAGAGAGAUCAGGAGCUCAUGAGUGGGGCCCCAGGCAUGCGUACGUGCUCCCCUGUAAGCGAGUAGCCAGCUACGUGGUUGGGCCAGCAGCCAACAAACAAGAAAACAAGAGUAAAUAAUCUCAAUUAAUCAAAGUCAGCGCAAUGUGAUCUUAAGAUGCUCCAUAAUUCUAUUGACGCAUGCUACUACUGCUAAGCACUGCCACCAAAAUCCCGGACAGAAACCUUGCGUUGCCAGGGUUGCUUUGAUUUGACUCUCGACUGUUUGGAAUGGGUAAAUAGGGCCCAAGUUUAAUAAGAGAAAGUUCCCCGUGCUUCCCGCGAUUGCGGCGGAGCUCAUUCUCUUCUGGACAUGAUGCAAAUGAUCAUGACAAUUUUUGGAAAAAAAAUAUUUGCAGGAUAGCUUCUAUAAUCUCUAUGGCAAACAACCAAUCCACUUUUACACAAAAGAAGUGGACGGCAAUAGAAAUUUACACAUAAGCCCCAUGAGUAAAGAUAAGAGGGGUUAGUUUUACUAGGAGUAGGACGUUUAAUUAUCAUUUCCCCUCUACAUUAUUGUCCAAAUCCAAAUCUGAAUUUCAAGACAAUUUACGUUUUGUAAUUUUCCAUGACACCAUUUGCUCCGUAAUGACUCUUGCAGCAGAGAGAUGGCUCAGAGAUACACCUCGCCGGCCAUCCAAAGGGUAAAUAUGUUGGCAAGCAUUGGUCACCAGAAAAAGAAACGCUAGGCUAAAUGCUCUGUUCCAAGAUACUCGGCUAGGAUCAAGGGAUUCCUUUCCUUGUAUUACUCCCAUGUCGUCUAUCAAACCGUGCCAAUUCCUCAGCAAUUCUGUUUCUGCCAAAUGGAUAUGGAAUUAACAUAUAAAUGAAUACACAACACAAAAAUGUACCAUGCUAAUUAACUGAGACAAGUCAACUAGUUGAAGUCGGCAACGUGCUCAAGCAUGCACCAUGAUUGAUCACUCAUACGCUAAUAUGGCAUAUAUAAAUGAACAAAUAUGUAAGCUGCAGACUUCCUGAGUUGUUGACAGAUAUUAAUCUAAUAUUUCUGUAGAUGUCGCCUUCCUGUGUAUUAGACAGAAGCGCCACCUUGUUUGUUAAUUGUACUUUGGCGAGGGGUACAUUGCCGAAAAGAGAAAUGCUCAUGUAGUUGCCGUGUUGGCAUGUUUGAUUUCUUCUCAUCUUUUGAAAGGUAUGAUUCUUCUUCUUCUACAGAACUGCAUGUUUCUGUCUUCGACUCAAAUCAGUUUUAACACCAUCCAUUUUUUUUUCAAAAAGAAGAAAAACCUCCCGGCCUCAAUCGAUGCACAUAGCCUAAAUAUUAUUGAAGUCUCAUACAUCAUGCAAGGUAAACAUCAUGCAUCACCUGUGCAAUGCUACGGAACACCUUACAUUCGAUUUUUGUUACCACUAUUUAUUCUGCUUUAAUAGUCUGGUUGAUGGGAAAUUAGGGAUCGGAGAAUGGAGGCGGCAGCUACCGGUUGAUUGGGGGAAAGGCUGCAAAAGGAAGAAGAUAUCAGAGGAUAUGGAGUGAUACAACAAAGUGAGGUCAUUGUGAUUUGGACAGGCCAAUUUGUUAGUUGCCAGUGCUCAGGGAGAAAAUGCAUGGGAACUGAAUUGACGACCACCAAGUGGAAACUUUAUAAGUAGGAAAGAAAUAAAAAUACAACUUAUUUUUUCAAUACAGAAAUACAACUUCUUAUGAGAACUCUAAGCUAUAGGAUUUCAAUUCUAUGUGCCCAACAUCUAAGGCUAUGAUCAGUAGCUGGUCUCAGAGGAUGAUUAGCCACGCUAAGACCGAGACACGGCCCGGAUUUCUACGGGAGGCAGCAGUGGAGAAUUUUUGGCAAUGGGUGAAAGCCUCACGAAGCAAUGCCGCGUGGAGGUGGAAGACCUACGGGUCGCCAAGUUCUUUUCUCGGAGAAGAAACAAUGACGAUAUCUGAGGAAUAAACAUCGGCUAACUCCGUGCCAGCAUCCGGAAUGUGGGCGUAAAGAGUCUGUAAGUGGUUUUUCCAGUCCGAUGUCAAAUCCUAGGGCUCAACCUUGGACAGCGGUGGAAACUACAAAGCUAGAGUACCGCAGGGGCAGAGAGAAUUUCCGUUGGAGCGCCAAAAGCUCAUCUAAAAACCACAAUCGACAAAUAUGUUGCAUGAAUGCAAGCAUGCUAUUUUUUCUGAUUAAUGCACAUGGCUAAGUAAAAGUUAAAAUAAACUCCUUACGAAAGAAAAACUGCCCAUCAGGCCGGCAACUGUAGCUAGUGUACAUGACUGAGCCAACAAUUAACGCAUCGCAUGUGUCAAUGUGUCAGCUUGGGCUACGACGCUGAUCUGCCAUGAUAAUGGGAAAUAACUAAAGUUUGCGUAAAAACACAAAUAAGAAGAGAAGAGGCGAUCGAUGGAUGGAUGCGUGCAACUGCCAAAAGACAUUAAUCCCCAACGGCAACAAGCGAGUGAAAGGAUGGAGCUAGUAAUAUUUUCAAGGUACGCGUAAGCUAGGGUCAACUCCUUCACAGCUUCACUCAAGCUAGGGGCGGUAGAGAAGAUAAGGGGACACCGGCUUACACGUCUAAGCUAGCUUAAUUAGCAGCUGCCGUCACAUGCAUGGUCGACACUUCUAAACUUGAUCUCUUCCUACGUGCCAAGUGGAGUAGUGUCUAGUAGCUAGUAUUUCCCAAGGGAGAGCUAGCUAGCUCCGGUAGUACAUCCUUAUGCUUUGCAUGCAACUAUGCAAGUACGACAAGGGCAUUUUUUACCCACAUAAAUUUCAAAGGAAUCCGUUAAGAUUUUUUCCAAUGAAGAUUGUUUGAAUUGUAAGCAAACAAUUACAAAUAGUAGAACUUUAGCAUCAUUUUACAUUUAUAUGUUAGAUUUUUCAAGUAGGCUGAAUGUUAAACUUGAUAGCUAAUUGUGUAGCUACGGUUUCGUUACCAAAUUAGUCUUUCUCAUGGCCGCACUAUUCGCCAAUUUACACAUUGCCCAAUUGAAUUCGUUAUAUUCAUCCAAUGCCCAUUUUGACUACCCCUAUUUUUCGGACCUCAAGAUUCCGGAUUCUUGUCCGAAUCUGCUUUCCAAGACCAGAUAAAUAAUACGGGUCAAGAUCUCAGGGGCUGGCCCAGGAUUUUAACACCGGGUAUUCAAAAUUGUUCAAAAUUAUUUCGAAAUUUCAUUGGUCAAAUUAAUUGGUGAAAAAUUAAUUUGCGUCUCUAAUCGAGUGAUCCGUGAGGUGCUAUCCUCUUGUGUGUAGUGUAGUGUAGUGCGUGUAGCUGUUCUAUGACGGAAGUGGCGAAGCGCGGAGCAUCACCCUGCCUAGCCGGCCAACACCCAAAAGCGGAGACGCCGAGGAGGAGGCAUAGGAGAAGUUGCUAGGAUUUAAAAAGAGGCGAGGAGGCACGAGAUAGUUCGAUUUUCAACUAUAUAAAAUCCUACUUAGACCAUUGGGCCAAUUCGAGGGAAGGAUGAGAUAGAUGGCCAGUGCAUUUUAGGGCUCAAUGCUUCAAUACUUUGAGUUUUAGCCCAAAAUUCUUUCUAGAUGCAUACAUAUAUAGAGUACAUAAUACAUAUAUUCUUUUUUUUGCAAAAAUUCAGCUAGGCCUGCCCAUGGUCAAGGAUAGGAUAGGGUCAUUCCCGAUUUUUUUGGGGAGUGCUUAUUUCUCGGUCAAGUUAGAAAUAGUUAUUUCUCGGUCGACGAUCAUAGUCAUCCAAUUAAGAUUUUCUCAUCAUUUUAUACUUAUAUGAAUCUUGUACGAAUCUCAGUGAUUGGAUCAGGUGUUUUGUUUGCGUCGACUUAGAAAUAGUUACUUUUCAGUCGCCUUAGAAAUAGCAAAGCCGAUUUUUUUUCUCACCAUAGCUCCCAAACAAACCCAAUCUGGAAAGUUUUUUAUUUCAUGAAUACAGUACAAAAAUUUGGUGGGAAUUUCCUGGGCUCCCACACAAAAUCUCUCCCGAACACAUACCUUUAUCCUCAUUCUGUUUCUUUUACUUAUACAUGCAGUCUUUUAAGACAAAAUAAAGUAGUGGACAGAUUCUUUUUUCCUAUCUUUAUGCAAUAGCUGCAGUACUUAUUCAGUAUUCCUCCAAUAUCUACUCAAUUCCACCUCUCCUAACCCAAUAACUAUACUAUGGUAGCGUUAAAAUUAUUCAUCUAGGAAAAGUAAGAGCAAAAUGGUUUAGUAGGCUUUAGAAAUCUAAAUAUACAAAUAUUUUGAGAAACAUUGCAAAGGACUGUAUAAAAACAAAAAUAGAGACUGUAAUCUCUUUUCUUUUUUUUGCGGAAAAGAAUGUAAUUUCUUAUCAUACAAGACCGCUUAUACAAGACCUACAUUUAGCAGUUGAGAAAGACAAAGAAAUGAACUUACAAAACUAAUCAAAAUCGGUUACCACGAGCUAACCGUCUACACUGCACGCUCUAUAAUUGAUCUCAUCUGAUCUAUGUGUACCCCCUGCAUUGACCUUGCAAACACAUUUAUUUAAUCCCAAUUAAGAACCAGCACCUCAGCAUCGAGCACACACAUAUAAAAAAUACAAAACAAUUGCAUCGCAAUUCGCAAGAACCGAGGUAAACACCGGCCAGAAUGAUCUCAUCGCCUCUGCCUAGCUUGCAAACCAAUUCAAACCCCCCCUUAAUUGGGGCCAUAGCUAGCUUUCCCACAGCGAAGGGGAAUAUAAUAUUUUGUGUGAUGAAUAAACAAACAUUUGACACCUAACAUGCUGCGGUUAUAAAAGGGGGGGAUUGGUCUCCCAGCUUCCACACACCAUCUCUGCUUCUUCUUCUUCUUCUUCCACCUUCCAAGUUCUAGCAAUUGUUGGUAGCUUGCUAAUCCGGAACACUCACUCGGAACAAUGGUGAUCCCUGUCAUUGACUUCUCAAGGCUCGACGGAGAUGACAGGGCGGUGGCUCUGAUGGAGAUCGCCGCCGGGUUCGAAGAGUGGGGGUUCUUCCAGGUAAGCAUACAUAUAGGCAUAGCUUUUCAGGAGAUCAUGUUCAUCAAUGUAUGGAUGCCAUUCUUCUAUGAUGCUAAUUAUAAGAGAGGACUUGUGGUGCAGCUGGUGAACACCGGCAUCCCCGAUGAGCUGUUGGAGAGGGUGAAGAAGGUGUGCAGCGAUUGCUACAAGCUGCGCGAGGAGGGGUUCAAGGAGUCCAACCCCGCAGUCAAGGCCCUCGCUGCCCUGAUUGACCAGGAAGGCGAGGGCCUCCCCGCGAGGAAGGUCCAAGGCAUGGAUUGGGAGGACGUCUUCACCCUCCAUGACGACAUGCCUUGGCCCUCCAUCCCCCCCACCUUCAAGUAAGCCCCCAAUUCAUCAGUCGCUUACCGCAGCAACCCCUUUUUGCUGAUCAUCCUCUGAUCGAUCAGGCAUACAUGUGGGGCUUGAAUGUGCAGGGAGACGAUGAUGGAGUACAGGAGGGAGCUGAAGAAGCUGGCGGAGAAGAUGCUGGGGGUGAUGGAGGAGCUGUUGGGGCUGGAGGAAGGGCACAUCACCAAGGUCUUCUCCAAGGACGGUGACUUCGAGCCCUUCUACGGCACCAAGGUGAGCCACUACCCGCCGUGCCCGCGGCCGGAGAUGGUGGACGGGCUGCGUGCCCACACCGACGCCGGCGGCCUUAUCCUGCUCUUCCAGGAUGACCGCGUCGGCGGAUUGCAGGUGCUGGGCCACGACGGCGUCUGGGCCGAUGUCCAGCCAGUCGAGAACGCCAUCGUCAUCAACACCGGCGACCAGAUCGAGGUGAGUGAGCCCACCAUGUCCAUGACCACGCUUCUGGCGAGGUUAAUUGAGUAUUCUAGUACCAUGCUGGUCUUGGUGGACUUGAGCUCACGUUGAUAACAGUUGAGAUUUGUGGUGUUGUGCCUGCUUGCUUAGUGAUCUGGAGAGGCUGCUGCUAUUUAAAAUAUUUGAGUCAACCCAAGAAGAAGCCACCUCAACACUGUGUUGCCUGAUCAAUUCCUUACAUAGUCAAAAAGAUCGCUUUAAUAAGUUUGCUCCAGAUUGAAAUCCCAAAGCAUUAUACUCAAAUGUUUGACCAGAAUUAGUGCUAGUUGCCCAAUCUUGGACAAGAAUGAUUACUCAUUGCAAAGCAACUCAAUUGAUUUGAUUUCAGGUGAUGAGCAACGGGCGGUAUAAGAGCGCCUGGCACCGCGUGCUGGCCACCCGCGACGGCAACCGGCGAUCCAUCGCCUCCUUCUACAACCCGGCACGCAUGGCCACCAUAUCUCCAGCGACACCCGCCACCACCGACACCAACUCUGACUACCCAAGCUUCAUGUUCGGGGACUACAUGGAGGUGUACGUGAAGCAGAAGUUCCAAGACAAGCAGCCCAGGUUCGCCGCAGCGGCAGCGACAGCCAAGGAAUUGGUGGAGUGAAGACUGAACUGAUCAACCUGAGCCCAGCAGACAGCAGCAGACAACAUGUCUAUGCACCUGCAGAGCUUCAGAUUCAGCUUCAGCUUCUUCUUGCCCUGUUAAGUUACUUAAUUAAGUGUACAAUUAAUUACAUACGGGUUUUUGUGAUAUAACUAAAUAGGUUUGUUAAGUACAGAUGUGUGUUAGUGCCAUUCGGCAGUCUACUCUCUCGGAAGCCAUAUAAACAUAUAUAAUAUAUAUGGUGGCAUGAGAGACUGUCAGAAUGUGCUGUGGUCAACAGAUGCCAUAGAGUGAUUUGUAGCUUGGAGUGGCAUCUAGUACCUCUAUGGGUUCAUCUUUCUUUCCUUUUUUUUUUCUUUUUAAUGUUUGGGUUUUAAUGUGGUUUGUAAAUGUACAUUAGUGGGAGAUGUGAGGAGAUCCUGUGAAUGAAAAUGUAUUGGUGGGGUAUAAUACAGUAUCAAGUUUCAGUUCACAUAUAUUGCCUGACGCAGAGUACACAUUUUUCAUGAGCUUCUGUGUAUUAUGAUCCAACCAUAACAUUCAUUUUGAAUAUACAAUCAAGAUCAGAGAGAAUAAAUUGACAUUUUGAAUUAAUUCCUAAUCCCCACAAGUCACUGCUUGUUCUAGUGCAUGAUUAAUUCUGAUUUUGCUUAAUUUAUGGGCAGGUAUACUAGUCCACAAAAACUGAUACACUAACUAAAUAUGCACUUCUCCAUUCCAAAAGUAGAUGAGAUUUUUUUUUGAAACAAUAGAUGAGAUUUUUGUUUUUGCACGGUAUCCACUUGGCAAGUUUGACUGUGAUUCUGCAUCUGUACUUGUUUGUAAGUAAAAUAACUAGUUAAGCAAAAAAAAGUAACUGUAAUAAAUUAUACUUUGAAUUAUUUUUCACGAAAAUAUAAUGGUGGGUUGUAGUUUCUAUAUAACAAUAUCUUCAUUUUUAUUAGCUAAUUUGUUAGAGGAAAAAAUAUUUUUCUUUUUAGAGAUCGGUCAGAUCUGCUUUGUACUAAAAGAUUUGGAACGAAAAUAGAGAGAGAGAGAGAGAGAGAGAGCGGGGAUGACAUCUAGAUACUAAUCCGACAACCUUCUUACGUCGACUGGGAUUUAAACCUUCUGCUUAAAAAAGUUGCAUAAGACAUAACCACAUAGCCACACUCUUUCAUUAAUUACUGAUCAGAGGUUUAAAAAACUCUGACCUCAGGCAUUCUAGUGAAUGAUGACCCCCUUAGGCCUUGUUUGGCACUCGAUCAGCGCCAUCAUCUCUACUUGUGUUCCAGGCUCACUCACGCAUCCAGAACUGCAUCCACAGCAAAAAGCAAGCAAGAAUCACACUCUACUAUUAAAAGAAUCCCAAAGCUGAGCAUAUAUAUGGUCACGACGAACCUGCUAUCCAUCUACCACAUCUCCACAAUCUUCUCUUCACCCUGUGUUGGCUGGAUCUGCUUCUUGACAUAAUCAGCUGCCUAUAUGAUCUUCUUGAUGGUGGUGAUCCUUCUGAGUGAGUACGCAGCUUCUUGAACUAGUGCCUCUUGGCCCGAGCUGAAAGCAAGAAAAAACAGUCAAAACACAAAACCAAAUUGAUUAGUUGUAACUAGUAAGUACUCAUGCCUAAUGGCUAAUGCCAAUGUUGGAGCCACGGGCAUAGCUUAGAGUACACAAACGAGCAUCAUACAUACGCAAACCAGGUUUCCCUUAUUAACCAACAUGUAGCAGACCAUGAAAGGAUUUAGAAAAGGAACUUCUACUCAUUUGGUAAUUUCGUCGAACACCUUGGCUGCAUGGACUAAGGCUAAAUGAACCACCAUCGGCUGGAAGAUAGUGAAAGGUUGGGUGGACCGUGGGCAUUGCAGCAUGGAUGUCAAUGUAGCCCCUGGUUUUGCAGCACGUACAAGCGCACGACCUUGCAGUCAGAAGACCUCGCGUGAUCCCGAUCCACCGCGCGCAGCGGGCAAUCAUUCAGCUCCACGACGACGAGGAACUUCCGGCCGCGGCACCGGCGGUGAGGAGCUUGGGAGAUGAAGGGGAGAGCAGGAGGUAGGCGGUCGCAGGCCGCCUCGCAGCAGUGGUGGCAAGGGCCAAGGUGAGCUCGCGAGGGCAUGUGUCAGCGGCGUUUGGAAGGGGCUACGCUUUGGGGUUGUAAAAUGAGAGAAAAUUACUAAAACCACCGACCUUUGGUGCACGUGUCUAGGAAAAUCAAUUUUUUUAAAAAAAUUUAUAAAUUAUCACCACUUUCUCCGUUAGUUGUACUCCCGCGCACUGAUUUUGUCUCUGAUCGCGUUUUGACACGAAAAUUGACAAGAGGGCCCACACAUCAGGUCCACAUAGGCUCCACGCUGGCCCAGGGCGUCCACCGUGUCCGGACCCGACCGAACCCGACCUAACCCUAGCCCCUUAGCACGACCCGAGCCCGACCUUGCCCUCGGCCUGGAACCCUAGAUCUCGUACCCGUCCCCGUCUCUCUCUGGUUGGCGACGUCGGAAGCGAUGGCGACCUCCAAGGUCGUCGAUGAUGGCGGCGGCACCGGCGAUGAGGGAGGCAACGAGUUCGCAGCGCUCCUGACCCAGGCAAGCGUGGCGGAGGCAAGUGGCGGAGGUGGGUCUUUGCCGUCAGUUCCGCCAUUGCCGGCGGCGUCGAGCAACAGCCCGCACUAGACCGACUACAUCGACUUUACACAGUAAGUUCUUAUCUCUUUUUCAUCUCAAUGUGCUCGAUUUGGGGGAUGGGGUUGCUUCAGUUCUAGGGUUCAUCUCAAUGUGCUCGAUUUGGGGGGUGGGGUUUCUCGAUUCCAUCGAUGUAGGAAGUAAUCUUAGUUCUUUUUUUGAGUUUUGUCGAUUUUGCAUUUCUGUGUAGGUUGGAUGACGAGAUAUGGCAGGUUAGAAUGAAAUUUGAGAGCGGGCAUACGGUGGAGAGGUACAUGGGUAGGUUAGAUUUGAUUUAUCUCAAUCUUCUUGGUUUGAUGGAGAGUGUUGGGUCUGGAAAGGAUUAUUACAUGCAUUAUGUUAAGGAGGAAGGGGUUGGUUUGAGAGGACCGGCUAUGAUUGAUGGAAAUGACAAGGUCAAGAUGAUGAAGAUUUAUCAGUCCUCCAAGCUGCUGAAUAUUACAGUGAUGAAGGGCAGGGGUUAUGGUUUAUCUCCCGUGAAGAGAGCUGCUGAAUUUUACAGUAAUAUACCGACGGUGGGCAGAAGGAAGAGGAAGAGGCCAGAUGUGAUUACAAUUGAGGAUGAAGAAGUAGCAGAAGCUGAGCAGCACAUUCAAACUCAAUCUAGUGUAAACAUGAUGGCUGAAGCUCAAGUUGGAGGUGCAGUUGAUAAGGGAAAAGCACCAGAAGCUAAGCAGCACAUUCAGACUCAAGCUAGUGUAAACAUGAUGGGUGAAGCUCAAGUUGGAGGUGCAAUUGAUAAGGGAAAAGCACAGGUAGCAGAUGAUACAUCAACAGAAUAUGACUCUGAGGAUUUUGAGAGUGACAGCAAUGCAGAUGCAGACAUUGAUUGUGGUGAGUACAAUGUACACCAAUACAAAACACAGGAGAUGAGAAGCAGUAAGAAGAUGAGCUUGCGCAGUUGGUAGCCAGAAUGAGAGUUGAGAGGAAUGAUCCACAGCAACACUUGGAGGGGGAUACAGAUGUUGAAGACCUUUAUGACCCAGAGCCUCAACUUGUUUCAGACAUUGAGGUUGAGGAUGGGCAACCAAUGCUUAAUCCAGAAAGGAAGAAACCAACAAGGAAAGGCCCCACAACCAGAUCACAUGCAAGUGUAGGUCCUAGCUUCAUUCCUGACCGCAUCAUUUCUUCUUCUGAAGAUAGUGAUCCUGGUCCUAUAUCUGAUGGAGAUGAUGAUGGGGCAGAGGGAAUGUCAUUUGUGGCUCCUUUAAGGAGGAAAAGCAGAUCCAAGAAGCAGGCAAAGAGGAUAUACUAUGAUGAAUCAAGGCAGGCAGCUCAUGAGCAGUUCUGCCUGAAGUUGUGCUUUGCUGAUGUAUAUCAGUUUAGAAGAGGUUUAGUUAAUCUGCACAUUGUCCAGAGCAGGGACUUCAGGUAUCAUAGGAAUUGUAAGAAAAGGGUUAUUGUUAAUUUCAAGCAAAAGAACUGUCCAUUCUACAUGGUUGCAUCUCAAAUCAAGAAUGAGAAGACCUUUUGCAUUAAGAAGAUUUUUUUGGACCACAUGUGUGGGAUCACAAAAGAGAGUACAAGGAUCAAUGCAAAGUGGUUGAGCAAGGCAUAUGAAGGUACCAUUAGAUCUGACGCCACAACAAAUGUCAAGUCAAUCAUGGAUAAAGCAAUGGAAGAUUUUGGAGUUGAAGUGCCCAAGAUGAUGGCUUACAGGGCUAAGAAUAAAGCAAUAGAAGUUGUUCUUGGUGAUCAUGUCAAGCAGUAUACAAGGAUAAGGGACUACAUGCAGACUGUAAUAGAUACCAAUCCUGGUAGCAGAUGCAUAGUCCAAACGGUCAGGCCAAAACCUGGAAAGAAUCCUAGAUUCCAUGGGUUGUUCUUCUGUGUAAAUGGCCCAAAAGAAGGUUUUCUGAAUGGAUCAGACCAUUCAUUGGUGAGUUUUCUCCAUAACUUGUUUACUAUUAUGUAGUGUUUUAACACUUGUUAAAUGAGUUACAUUGUGCUAAACUAUUACUUUGUUGUUCAUAUAGAUUUAGUUGUCAAUAACCUAAGUGAGGUCUUCAACAGGUUCAUUUUAGAUGUCAGGUCCAAACCAAUAGUCACCGUGAUAGAUGGUAUCAGGACAAAAAUGAUGGCCAGAUUUGUGAACAAAAGAGAUGGAGUUGCAGGAAACAGAUGGGAUAUUACAACAUCAUAUAGUGAGAAGCUGGAAAAUGAAAAAAAGUAUGCUAGGUUUUGUAGACCAAUUUGUGCUGGACCUGGAUUAUGGCAAGUGACAAGUGGUGAGAAUACCCAUGCUGUGAACCUUGAAGCUAAGACAUGUGGCUGUAGGAAGUGGGAUUUAACUGGCAUGCCUUACAAUCAUGCAAUUGCAGCAAUCUACAAGGCUAAACAACAUCCAGAGGAUUAUGUUCAUCCAUUUUUCGAGAAAGAGUUGUAUCUCCAAACCUACAGCCCUGUCAUUUAUCCUGUACCUGGUCAGCAUGAUUGGACCAAGACCAACACUGAUGACAUUGAUCCCCCUAUCUUCUUGAAGCAUCCUGGCAGACCAAAGCAUAAAAGGAGAAAGGGACAGUUUGAGCCUCCAGCUGCUAGGGACACUUCUAUAAUGGGAGUUAUUACAUGCAGUAAUUGCAAGCUGCAAGGACAUAACUACUUAAGCUGCAAGAAAGCACUGAGGCCUGAACUUCAGAUUAGGAAAAAUAAUCACAAGGUAUGAACAAUAAUGACUGCUAUGUACUGUAACAUGUCAAUUGAUUACCUUUUUCCUAUGCAAUUCACUAUUAUUUCCAUUCUUCUGCAGGCAAACAGGACUGUCCCUGAUUAUGUCAGUAACCCACCUUCUCCAACACAAGGUCAAGUAGCUCCAACAUCUUCUCAGCAAGCAGAGCAAGAACUACCAAGAACAUCUUCUAGCAGCAGAGCAACAGCAACUACACCACCUAGAACAGGUGCUCCAGCUCCUGCCCCAAGAAGGUCACCAAGGCAUGCUCAAGCCGGCACAGUUGCUCCAGCUCCUGCCCCAAGAAGAUCAACAAGACAAGGUCAAGCCGGCACAGCUGCUCCAGCUCCUGCCCCAAGAAGGUCACCAAGGCAUGCUCAAGCCGGCACAGCUGCUCCAGCUCCUGCCCCAAGAAGAUCAACAAGACAAGCGACUGCUUUCUCAGCUCCAAGGCCAUCAGGUGCAGAACAUGAAGAGCAGGCUGGAGCAAGUAGACCCAGGAAGAAGGGAAACAAAAUUAUGUAAUACUUCACUGUUGGUAAUGGCAGACGGGAGCGAUUGUUGUUGCUGUGAUGUAAGACACAAUUAUUUUGUGAAGCCCACUGUGAUGUGAUCUACUGUGAUCUCAAGUGGUGCUUGUGAGCUAGUCAAUAAACUUAAUGGUCUGUAAGCUAACUAAUUCUGAUGAACUUGUUCUGUAAUGCGUGAUGUAGGCUGAUACUUGUGCUGUAAUGCUUCCUGUAAGCUUUAUGGCUGAUGAAACUAGCUGAUGUGCCCUUCUAGAGAUGUGAACUGGCAGAUGUGAACUGGCAGUGAACAACUAUUUUGUUGAAUUAAUGGUCUGUAAGAUGAAGUUGUGCUGCUAUUAUGUGUUUUGCCCUGUAUGGUCUGUAAGCUUUCAUGUUGAAUUUAAUGCCUGAUGUAAGAUUCAAACAUAAAUAGAUAGCAUACACACCAUGACAUGACAUUAUUCACUAGUUCAAACUGAGUUAAGAGCUUCAAAGCAACAACAUCAUUCACUAGUUCAAACUGAGUUAAGAGCUUCAAAGCAACAACAUCAUUCACUAGUUCAAACUGAGUUAAGAGCUUCAAAGCAACAACAUCAUUCACUAGUUCACCAGAGAGAUAUAUUCAACACAGAACACACUACAUAUUCUGUUGUCACUACACAUAAUUCUUCUCUACUACCACAGUUAGGACAAAACCUAGUAAAAGCAAGACUACACCACCAACAUACAUCGGCCAUUGUUCCUUCUGUAGUACCAGUUGUCUCAGCCGUUUAACUUUAAGUUUUGAUUCAGUUUCAAUGUCAGCAAGCUGGAGCUCUAGCUGCAUCUUCAUCUCCUCUGCCUUCUUUCUUUCUUCCUCUGCUUUCCUCAGUGCAAAUUCAGCUAUGUUCUUCUCUUCAACAGCUUUGAAAAACAGUUCUUCUGCCUUCAUCUUCUCUUCCAUUGCCUUCCUCCUUUCAGCAUCCAUCAUACCAGCCUUCUCAAUCUCUCUCUGGCAAUUCUGUCCCAUUUCAUAAUUGCUCCACAGGUGAAGCAGCCUCUUCUUCAUUGGGUUUGGCCACUCCGGAUCAACCUAGUGCACAAAAUCACAGUCCUGAAUCUACACAUGAAGAAUAACAAUCAAUCGCUAAGCUAAUCAUGCAAAUUCCAACUACACUCACAGGCUUACAAUGUUCGAGCAACCAAUGUAGCGUCUGCAUGUAUGCUCGCCGCCUCUGGCCACUCGCCUUGAUCCGCGAAGCCCAUGAUGGCAACGGAUCUCUUCCUCCUCCCCAGGGAAAUCGGAA